GAUGAACGCUGGCGGCGUGCCUAAUACAUGCAAGUCGAGCGAACAGACGAGGAGCUUGCUCCUCUGACGUUAGCGGCGGACGGGUGAGUAACACGUGGAUAACCUACCUAUAAUACUGGGAUAACUUCGGGAAACCGGAGCUAAUACCGGAGAAUAUAUUGAACCGCAUGGUUCAAUAGUGAAAGACGGUUUUGCUGUCACUUAUAGAUGGAUCCGCGCCGCAUUAGCUAGUUGGUAAGGUAACGGCUUACCAAGGCAACGAUGCGUAGCCGACCUGAGAGGGUGAUCAGCCACACUGGAACUGAGACACGGUCCAGACUCCUACGGGAGGCAGCAGUAGGGAAUCUUCCGCAAUGGGCGAAAGCCUGACGGAGCAACGCCGCGUGAGUGAUGAAGGUCUUCGGAUCGUAAAACUCUGUUAUUAGGGAAGAACAAAUGUGUAAGUAACUAUGCACGUCUUGACGGUACCUAAUCAGAAAGCCCCGGCUAACUACGUG
rnacentral:rRNA from 1 species